AGUCCUGGGAUUGCAGGUGUGCCCCACGAUGCCUAGCCAAAAAGAGUGGGUCUUUUGUUUUAGGGUCUUUGUAGUCCAGGUUAGCCCCGGACUGAAUUAAAACCUCCUGCCUCCUCCUCCACUGGAAUAUAGGUGUGCAUUACCCUGCUUGGUUUAUGGGGUGGCUUUGUGCGUACUGGGCAGGCAUCCCACAAGCUGUGCUGUGUCCCCAGGUCAAUUCUUGAAAUGUAUUUAUUUAUUUGGGUGUGUGCACAUGUCACAACAUGUAGGCAGAAGUCAGAGGACAACCUGUGGCAGUCAGCCCUCUCUUUCCGCCAUGUGGAUCCCAGCGAUGGAACUCCGGUCAUCAGGAUUGACAGCAAGCGCAUGUACCCACAAGCCAUCUUGCUGCCCAGUCACCCGCCCCAGCCCCGUUCUCAUAUUUACUUAUUUGCUUCAUUCCUCUGGAGUUCUGGGACAUAAAGGAGGGAUGAGCGUGAAGAGCAGGAGGCAUUUCCUCCUUGGGAAGAACUGCGAAGCCGGGCGCUCCUGGGAACACCUGUCCUGCCGGUAUUCAGGAGGCGCUUCCAAGUCAGCCCGGGCUGUAGCAAAACGCUGCCCCCAAAGCACAAAAUAAACUCACAGACAUUCAAACAAG
rnacentral:lncRNA from 1 species